GAGCUUGCUCUGGGGGAUCAGUGGCGAACGGGUGAGUAACACGUGGGCAACCUGCCCCAGACUCUGGGAUAACCUCGGGAAACCGAUGCUAAUACCGGAUACGACCACUUCGGACAUCCGACGGUGGUGGAAAGUUUUUCGGUCUGGGAUGGGCCCGCGGCCUAUCAGCUAGUUGGUGGGGUAAUGGCCUACCAAGGCGACACGGGUAGCCGGCCUGAGAGGGCGACCGGCCACACUGGAACUGAGACACGGUCCAGACUCCUACGGGAGGCAGCAGUGGGGAAUAUUGCACAAUGGGCGAAAGCCUGAUGCAGCGACGCCGCGUGAGGGACGACGGCCUUCGGGUUGUAAACCUCUUUCAGCAGGGACGAAGCGAAAGUGACUGUACCUGCAGAAGAAGCACCGGCUAACUACGUG
rnacentral:rRNA from 1 species